rnacentral:lncRNA from 1 species
GUUGCUACCAAAACCACCAUUUCCAGCCCUACGAGCAACGGCAGCAACUGACCUACCUGGAGCCCUCGGUUGUUUAGGCCGUCAGAAAAUGAAAAGACUUAACUUGAAGCAUUAUAACAAAAACUAAUAGAAAGCAACCAUUUUACCAAGGAAGACAAGUUCAGAGAACAAGCAGAUUUCAUCAGAAUUAAAAGCUAAGUUCCCUGAAGGUUCCAGAGGAUUUGGUAAAACCAACAUUUUUAUCAAAACCAAAUAUGCAAAUCUGCCAUAAGUACUAAUUCUCCUGCAGUUUACCGAAUCAAACCAAACAUAAUAAAGAUUGGAC